rnacentral:rRNA from 1 species
AAGACCUUGCGCUUUUGGAGCGGCCGAUGCCUGAUUAGCUUGUUGGUAAGGUAAAAGCUUACCAAGGCUUCGAUCAGUAGCUGGUCUGAGAGGACGACCAGCCACACUGGGACUGAGACACGGCCCAGACUCCUACGGGAGGCAGCAGUGGGGAAUUUUGGACAAUGGGCGCAAGCCUGAUCCAGCCAUGCCGCGUGAGUGAAGAAGGCCUUCGGGUUGUAAAGCUCUUUCAGUCGGGAAGAAAAGGUUGCGACUAAUAAUCGCAAUUCAUGACGGUACCGAAAGAAGAAGCACCGGCUAACUACGUGCCAGCAGCCGCGGUAAUACGUAGGGUGCGAGCGUUAAUCGGAAUUACUGGGCGUAAAGGGUGCGCAGGCGGUUUUGUAAGUCAGAUGUGAAAUCCCCGGGCUUAACCUGGGAACU